UAAAGCGCGUGCAGGCGGUUUGGUAAGUUGGGCGUGAAAGCUCCCGGCUCAACUGGGAGAGGUCGUCCAAUACUACCGGACUAGAGAACAGAAGAGGAAGAUGGAAUUCCCGGUGUAGUGGUGAAAUGCGUAGAUAUCGGGAGGAACACCAGUGGCGAAGGCGGUCUUCUGGUCCUGUUUCUGACGCUCAGACGCGACAGCUAGGGUAGUAAACGGGAUUAGAGACCCCGGUAAUCCUAGCCGUAAACCAUGUGAACUUGGCGUUGGUGGCUUAAACACCAUCAGUGCCGAAGCANNHKCGAUAAGUUCACCGCCUGGGGACUACGGCCGC
rnacentral:rRNA from 1 species